UACGGGGGGGGCAAGCGUUGUUCGGAAUUACUGGGCGUAAAGGGCGCGUAGGCGGCCUGCUAAGUCGGAUGUGAAAUCCAUCGGCUCAACCGAGGAACUGCAUCCGAUACUGGCGGGCUUGAAUCCGGGAGAGGGAUGUGGAAUUCCAGGUGUAGCGGUGAAAUGCGUAGAUAUCUGGAGGAACACCGGUGGCGAAGGCGGCAUCCUGGACUGGUAUUGACGCUGAGGCGCGAAAGCUAGGGGAGCAAACGGG
rnacentral:rRNA from 1 species